rnacentral:lncRNA from 1 species
CCCUUUUUCUUUCUUAAUUUUUCCAAAUCCAAGCUCCAAUUUUUGAUUCGUUAAGCUCCAUUAAUUUCUUCAGCUUUAUGAUUCUCGAAGAAAUUUCACCAUUAAGGCAAUUCAUCGACAUCUCCAAAUCAAUUAGCUUCUUUAGAUUUCAAUUUCUUUAGGUUUCCAUCUAUAUUUGGAUAAACCCACGUUGCUGUGUUUUUGCUGUGUAAUUCCAUCUAUGAAUUUCGUCAGCUGGGAGGAACUUGAUGUUUGCUUCGUGCAGAAUUGGUGUUUUGUAUUCUCUGAUUUGCAAUUUUUUC